CAGGGUGUGGCAUCUUCUUACUCCUGUUUCCAGAUCUCAGAGAGGUUUUCAGGGGACAGGCCAACCUGGAGGACAGGAUUCCCUGGAGGCCACAGAGGAGCACCAAGGAGAAGAUCUGCCCGUGGGUCUUCAUUGCCCAGCUCCUGUACACUCCUGCCUG
rnacentral:lncRNA from 1 species